rnacentral:rRNA from 1 species
AACGUAGGGUGCAAGCGUUGUCCGGAAUUACUGGGUGUAAAGGGAGCGCAGGCGGACCGGCAAGUUGGAAGUGAAAACUAUGGGCUUAACCCAUAAAUUGCUUUCAAAACUGCUGGCCUUGAGUAGUGCAGAGGUAGGUGGAAUUCCCGGUGUAGCGGUGGAAUGCGUAGAUAUCGGGAGGAACACCAGUGGCGAAGGCGACCUACUGGGCACCAACUGACGCUGAGGCUCGAAAGCAUGGGUAGCAAACAGG